rnacentral:ncRNA from 1 species
AGCGCAGGUGCCGGAACGCUGUUCCGGCCGACGAGGAAGAGGUUCAUCGAUACGUCAGCGGAUGCCUCUCGGUAAGCUGCAAACCGUAAACGGCUCUACAAAUCCCUCCGGCAACGGGGGCAUACAGAAGG